GCCAGCAUGGUAUAGUGGUUUGAGCAUUAGACUAUGACUUUGGAGACCAGGGUUUGAAUCCCCAUUUGGCC
rnacentral:tRNA from 1 species